CCUACGGGAGGCAGCAGUCGAGAAUCAUUCACAAUGGGGGAAACCCUGAUGGUGCGACGCCGCGUGGGGGAAUGAAGGUCUUCGGAUUGUAAACCUCUGUCAUGUGGGAGUAAAUCAAAAAGAUAGUACCACAAGAGGAAGAGACGGCUAACUCUGUGCCAGCAGCUGCGGUAAUACAGAGGAUCCGAGCGUUGUUCGGAAUCACUGGGCGUAAAGCGUGCGUAGGCUGUUUCGUAAGUCGUGUGUGAAAGGGGCGGGCUCAACCCGCGGACGGCACAUGAUACUGCGAGACUAGAGUAAUGGAGGGGGAACCGGAAUUCGCGGUGUAGCAGUGAAAUGCGUAGAUAUCGAGAAGAACACUCGUGGCGAAGGCAGGUUCCUGGACAUUAACUGACGCUGAGGCACGAAGGCCAGGGGAGCGAAAGGGAUUAGAUACCCGGGUAGUC
rnacentral:rRNA from 1 species